GACGAACCGUGCGAACGUUAUUCGGAAUCACUGGGCUUAAAGCGCGUGUAGGCGGGUCGGCGCGUCGGACGCUGAAAUCCCCCGGCUCAACCGGGGAAGUGGCGCCGAUACGGCCGGCCUGGAGGGACGUAGGGGGGGCUGGAACUCCGGUGGAGCGGUGAAAUGCGUUGAGAUCGGAAGGAACGCCCGUGGCGAAAGCGAGCCCCUGGACGUCUACUGACGCUGAGACGCGAAAGCCAGGGGAGCGAACGGG
rnacentral:rRNA from 1 species